rnacentral:rRNA from 1 species
UACAGAGGGGGCAAGCGUUGUUCGGAAUUACUGGGCGUAAAGGGCGCGUAGGCGGCCUGCUAAGUCGAACGUGAAAUCCCCGGGCUCAACCCGGGAACUGCGUCCGAGACUGGCGGGCUUGAAUCCGGGAGAGGGAUGCGGAAUUCCAGGUGUAGCGGUGAAAUGCGUAGAUAUCUGGAGGAACACCGGUGGCGAAGGCGGCAUCCUGGACCGGUAUUGACACUGAGGCGCGAAAGCCAGGGGAGCAAACGGGG